rnacentral:rRNA from 1 species
CCUACGGGAGGCAUCAGUGGGGAAUAUUGCGCAAUGGGGGAAACCCUGAUGCAGCGACGCCGCGUGAGUGAUGAAGUAUUUCGGUAUGUAAAGCUCUAUCAGCAGGGAAGAAAAUGACGUUACCUGACUAAGAAUCCCCUGCUAACCACGUGCCAGCAGCCGCGGUAAUACGUAGGGGGAAAUCGUUAACCGGAUUUACUGGGGGUAAAGGGAGCGGAGACGGCUUAUCAAGUCAGAAGUGAAAACCCAGGGCUCAACUUUGGGACUGCUUUUGAAACUGACUAGCUAGAGUGCAGGAGAGGUUAGCGGAAUUCCAGGUGUAGCAGUGAAAUGCGUAGAUAUUUGGAGGAACACCAGUGGCGAAGGCGGCUUACUGGCCUGUAACUGACGUUGAGGAGCGAAAGCGUGGGGAGCAAACAGGAUUAGAUACCCCGGUAGUC